UUGCAUCUCUCGGCGUCUCCUCCAGUGCUCCUUCCUCGUAACCCUAGACAAUCCACCCCCACCAACCCGUCCACUGGAUCGGGUCUCGGCAUCUCUGGGCGCGGGAGACCAGCGGUUUCGGUCGAAUUCGUACGAGUGCCAUGGCGGAUGCUGAACCAGUUGAUCCAAAGAAUUACCUUGAGGAACGUUGCAAGCCGCAAUGUGUAAAAUCAUUGUACGACUAUGAGAGAUGCAUCAAGAGAGUCGAGAAUGAUGGAACUGGACAGAAACACUGCACAGGGCAGUAUUUUGACUACUGAUCAUGCGUUGACAAGUGUGUUGCACCAAAGCUCUUUGACAAGCUCAAAUAAUGAUGGAAUGCUAUUUAUGAUGUGUCGCUUCAUUGCAGUAAUUCUUUUCAGUUGACAAGCUUAAAUGAUGAUGGAAUGCUAUUUAUGAUUGUGGCUUCUUUGCAGUAGUUCUUUUCUGUUGACAAGCUUAAAUGAUGAUGGAAUGCUACUUAUGAUGUGUGGCUUCUUCCCAGUAGUUCUUUUUCAGUUUUCAAGCCCAAUAAAUCAAUCAACUAUAUUAUCUCAGUUUAUUUUGCUGAACAUGUAA